UCUCCCUCUCUCAAAACAAUGGGUGCCUUGGACUCUCUUUCUCACAAUAUUUCUGAUCUGAUAACUGUGCAUGGCAAAAAGAGGAGGCGUAAAGUCAUGCAGACAGUUGAGAUCAAGGUUAAGAUGGACUGUGAUGGCUGUGAAAGGAGAGU